AGAGUUUGAUUCUGGCUCAGAACGAACGCUGGCGGCGUGGAUAAGACAUGCAAGUCGAACGCAAUUUUCUUAGUUAGCAAUAAUUGAGAAAGUUGAGUGGCGAAUGGUUGCGUAACACGUGAGAAUCUACCGGAAAGUGGGGAAUAGCUUGUCGAAAGGCAAAUUAAUACCGCAUGUGAUCGAAAGAUUAAAGUGGGGGACCGAAAGGCCUCAUGCUUUCUGAGGAGCUCGCGGCCUAUCAGCUAGUUGGUGAGGUAAUAGCUCACCAAGGCGAUGACGGAUAGCUGGUCUGAGAGGACGACCAGCCAGACUGGAACUGAGAUACGGUCCAGACACCUACGGGUGGCAGCAGUCGAGAAUUUUUCACAAUGGGGGAAACCCUGAUGGAGCGACGCCGCGUGGAGGAUGAAGGCCUUCGGGUCGCAAACUCCUGUCACCACAGAACAAGGAUGGUUCGUUUAAUAAAUGAAUCAUUUGAUGGUAUGUGGAGAGGAAGGGACGGCUAACUCUGUGCCAGCAGCCGCGGUGAUACAGAGGUCCCAAGCGUUGUUCGGAUUCACUGGGCGUAAAGGGUGCGUAGGGGGCUAGAUAAGUCAAAUGUGAAAGCUCACCGCUUAACGGUGAAACAGCAUUCGAUACUAUUUGGCUAGAGGAUUUGAGGGGAGAGCGGAAUUCUUGGUGUAGCGGUGAAAUGCGUAGAUAUCAAGAGGAACGCCGAUGGCGAAAGCAGCUCUCUGGAAAAUUCCUGACCCUGAGGCACGAAGGCUAGGGUAGCAAACGGGAUUAGAUACCCCGGUAGUCCUAGCAGUAAACGGUGCUCAUUAGGUGUUGGCGGAUUCGACCCCGUCAGUGCCGAACUUAACAGAUUAAAUGAGCCGCCUGGGAAGUACGGUCGCAAGAUUAAAACUCAAAGAAAUUGACGGGGGCCCGCACAAGCGGUGGAGUAUGUGGCUUAAUUCGAUCCACGCGAAGAACCUUACCUGGCCUUGACAUGCAUUGUUCAACCGGUGAAAGCCGGUGGCCCGCAAGGGCGAAUUGCACAGGUGCUGCAUGGCUGUCGUCAGCUCGUGUCGUGAGAUGUUGGGUUAAGUCCCGCAACGAGCGCAACCCCUAUGACUAGUUGCUCGCAAGAGAUCUCUAGUCAGACUGCCCUGUGAAACGGGGAGGAAGGUGGGGACGACGUCAAGUCAGUAUGGCCCUUACGGCCAGGGCUGCACACGUACUACAAUGCCCAAUACAGAGGGAUGCUAAUCCGCGAGGUAGAGCAAAUCCGAUAAAAUUGGGCCCAGUUCAGAUUGAAGGCUGCAACUCGCCUUCAUGAAGUUGGAAUCGCUAGUAAUGGCGCAUCAGCAUUUGGCGCCGUGAAUACGUUCCCGGGCCUUGUACACACCGCCCGUCACAUCAUGAAAGCUGGUCUUACCCGAAGUCGCUACGUGCGCCUAAGGUAAGGCCGGUGAUUGGGAUGAAGUCGAAACAAGGUAGCCGUAGGGGA
rnacentral:rRNA from 1 species